rnacentral:rRNA from 1 species
GUGGGGAAUAUUGGACAAUGGGGGGAACCCUGAUCCAGCCAUGCCGCGUGUGUGAAGAAGGCCUUUUGGUUGUAAAGCACUUUAAGUGGGGAGGAGGCUUACCUGGUUAAUACCUGGGCUAAGUGGACGUUACCCACAGAAUAAGCACCGGCUAACUCUGUGCCAGCAGCCGCGGUAAUACAGAGGGUGCAAGCGUUAAUCGGAUUUACUGGGCGUAAAGCGCGCGUAGGUGGCCAAUUAAGUCAAAUGUGAAAUCCCCGAGCUUAACUUGGGAAUUGCAUUCGAUACUGGUUGGCUAGAGUAUGGGAGAGGAUGGUAGAAUUCCAGGUGUAGCGGUGAAAUGCGUAGAGAUCUGGAGGAAUACCGAUGGCGAAGGCAGCCAUCUGGCCUAAUACUGACACUGAGGUGCGAAAGCAUGGGGAGCAAACAGGAUUAGAAACCCUGGUAGUCC